CACAAUUGAAGCUUUUUAAUAACAACCUACACCACACUGAUGGGUACUACCGCUAUAUACCCAUCAUAUUGACUCUGUAGGAUCCAUAACUUGUGUUCAUAAAAUAAUAAAUAUGUUGCAUUUAAAUAUACACAGGCUAUUUUAGCCAAAAAUAUAUUUUGUAUCUUAACAACCAUACCGAAACAAAAUGUGUUUUUUUUAAAAUCAUUUUGAAUUUACAAAUGUCACACUUUACACUUCUAAUCAAGAAAACAUGAACCUCUAUGCUAUAGAUUUUUUUGUUUUUAUUUUUAGAC